GAUGAACGCUGGCGGCGUGCCUAAUACAUGCAAGUCGAGCGAACGGACGAGAAGCUUGCUUCUCUGAUGUUAGCGGCGGACGGGUGAGUAACACGUGGAUAACCUACCUAUAAGACUGGGAUAACUUCGGGAAACCGGAGCUAAUACCGGAUAAUAUUUUGAACAGCAUGGUUCAAAAGUGAAAGACGGUCUUGCUGUCACUUAUAGAUGGAUCCGCGCUGCAUUAGCUAGUUGGUAAGGUAACGGCUUACCAAGGCAACGAUGCAUAGCCGACCUGAGAGGGUGAUCGGCCACACUGGAACUGAGACACGGUCCAGACUCCUACGGGAGGCAGCAGUAGGGAAUCUUCCGCAAUGGGCGAAAGCCUGACGGAGCAACGCCGCGUGAGUGAUGAAGGUCUUCGGAUCGUAAAACUCUGUUAUUAGGGAAGAACAUAUGUGUAAGUAACUGUGCACAUCUUGACGGUACCUAAUCAGAAAGCCACGGCUAACUACGUG
rnacentral:rRNA from 1 species